AGUUGUAGAAUCACUGGUGAAUAAGGGGUGGGCAAGUUCUGGUGUCAGCCGCCGCGGUAAAACCAGCACCUCGAGUGGUCAGGAGGUUUAUUGGGCCUAAAGCAUCCGUAGCCGGUUGCAUAAGUUUUCGGUUAAAUCUAUGCGCUUAACGUAUAGGCCGCCGAAAAUACUGUGCAGCUAGGGAGUGGGAGAGGUACACGGUACUCGAUAGGAAGGGGUAAAAUCCUUUGAUCUAUUGAUGACCACCUGUGGCGAAGGCGGUGUACCAGAACACGUUCGACGGUGAGGGAUGAAAGCUGGGGGAGCAAACCGGAUUAGAUACCCGGGUAGUCCCAGCUGUAAACGAUGCAGACUCGGUGAUGCAUUGGCUUGUGGCCAAUGCAGUGCCGCAGGGAAGCCGUUAAGUCUGCCGCCUGGGAAGUACGUACGCAAGUAUGAAACUUAAAGGAAUUGGCGGGGGAGCACCACAAGGGGUGAAGCCUGCGGUUCAAUUGGAGUCAACGCCAGAAAUCUUACCUGGGGAGACAGCAGAAUGAAGGUCAAGCUGAAGACUUUACCAGACACGCUGAGAGGUGGUGCAUGGCCGUCGCCAGCUCGUGCCGUGAGAUGUCCUGUUAAGUCAGGUAACGAGCGAGACCCCUGCGUCUAGUUGCUACCAUUACUCUCUGGAGCAGUGGAGCGAAUUAGACGGACCGCCACAGUUAAUGUGGAGGAAGGAAGGGGCCACGGCAGGUCAGCAUGCCCCGAAACCCUAGGGCUACACGCGGGCUGCAAUGGUAUUGACAUGUGUUCCGAAUCCGAAAGGAGGAGGCAAUCAUCAAACAUAUCUCAGUUAUGACUGAGGGC
rnacentral:rRNA from 1 species